rnacentral:sRNA from 1 species
GCUGGGCAUGGUGGUGCAUGCCUGUAAUCCUAGCUACUCAGGAGGCUGAGGCAGGAGAAUUGCUUGAACCUGGGAGGCGAAGGUUGCAGUGAGCCAAGAUUUGUGCCACUGCACUCCAGCCUGGGUGACAGAGUGAGACUCUGUCUCAA